AGCACAGCGACACCAACACCUCGCCGCGACCCACGCUACGCAUCUACGCAACACGAACACCCACUUACUGCACGGGUCGUCAUAUAUGUCAGGCUGCGUGGUUGGAUCUCGCGACAAAGGGCCAUGGGCUCGCCACUCUGCAACUGCAGGCUCGUCAGCGGUGCCACCACUUCGCCAAUUAUCUCAUCGCGGGAAUAUCUGAAAAUGAAUGACCUGUCAAAGCUGAGGACAACAAAGUGCAGGGUGAUGAGGGAGAUCUGGUGCUGGUAGAUGCCGUAGAAAGUAAAGUCCUCAUCGUAAACCGGGCAGCGGGUCUUGCGGACAACCCUGUAUGUAAUCAGAAGUACUUAAUCGAACAUCUGCUACAACUUGCCAA